UUCUGUGGGUGUGUCUGUCCUUACAGGUGUCACAUCAGGCCUGCUGCACUUGCCCCUGCUUGCCCAGGGACUUCCCUUCUAACAACGAGAUCUGACAGCAUCUCUAAGUUGAAGAAUGCUGCCUGACACAGGGCCUUGGAAAGACCCCACGCUAUCAGAGGCCCGAUGCCCAAGGUCCAUUAACUUCUCUGUGGAAUCAUCCCUGGGAGCCGGGGUGCGCUCCCGAUGCUGGUCCUCCACAGUCCCUCUCUAAGAUGGUGAGGGUCUGCCCCGAGCUUGGCCUUGGUGCUGAGACCCUACACACAGACUGCAGGUCCCUGAGCACUCCCAGAUAGUCAAGCAUCAGGGUCCCCAGCCCUGCCUCUGGCCAUCCCCCCACCUGCAGCCCAUGCACACGAGGUGAAGAAGCAGCAAGAGGCACACAGAGGGCCACCUUCUCACACCAGGAUCCUUCAGCGGCUCAAGAACCCAAAGUCACCCCAGACCCCAGGCCUGGCCAUCUUUCCCUUUCCCUCAGCUGAGUUCUGAUCAGCUUGCUCCUUUCCAAGUACCAUUACCUGCCACUUAUGGGCUGCAAAAAGAAAUAUAUGGCAGUUCAUAGAUUUUCAGACAUAAUAAAACACGCUUGUCAAGGCCA
rnacentral:lncRNA from 1 species